rnacentral:rRNA from 1 species
GGCGGCAGGCCUAACACAUGCAAGUCGAGCGCGAAAACACUUCGGUGUGAGUAGAGCGGCGGACGGGUGAGUAAUGCUUGGGAAUCUGCCCAGUAGUGGGGGAUAACGUGUGGAAACGCACGCUAAUACCGCAUACGUCCUACGGGAGAAAGCAGGGGAUCUUCGGACCUUGCGCUAUUGGAUGAGCCCAAGUCGGAUUAGCUAGUUGGUGGGGUAAUGGCCUACCAAGGCGACGAUCCGUAGCUGGUCUGAGAGGAUGAUCAGCCACACUGGGACUGAGACACGGCCCAGACUCCUACGGGAGGCAGCAGUGGGGAAUAUUGCACAAUGGGCGAAAGCCUGAUGCAGCCAUGCCGCGUGUGUGAAGAAGGCUCUAGGGUUGUAAAGCACUUUCAGUAGGGAGGAAAAGCUUAAGGUUAAUAACCUUGAGCCCUGACGUUACCUACAGAAGAAGCACCGGCAAACUCCGUGCCAGCAGCCGCGGUAAUACGGAGGGUGCGAGCGUUAAUCGGAAUUACUGGGCGUAAAGCGCGCGUAGGUGGUUUGAUAAGCUAGCUGUGAAAGCCCCGGGCUCAACCUGGGAACUGCAGUUAGAACUGUCUGACUAGAGUACAGUAGAGGGUGGCGGAAUUUCCUGUGUAGCGGUGAAAUGCGUAGAUAUAGGAAGGAACAUCAGUGGCGAAGGCGGCCACCUGGACUGAUACUGACACUGA